rnacentral:rRNA from 1 species
UACGUAGGGUGCAAGCGUUAAUCGGAAUUACUGGGCGUAAAGCGUGCGCAGGCGGCUUUGCAAGACAGAUGUGAAAUCCCCGGGCUCAACCUGGGAACUGCAUUUGUGACUGCAUGGCUGGAGUGCGGCAGAGGGGGGAUGGAAUUCCGCGUGUAGCAGUGAAAUGCAGUAGAUAUGCGGAGGAACACCGAUGGCGAAGGCAAUCCCCUGGGCCUGCACUGACGCUCAUGCACGAAAGCGUGGGGAGCAAACAGG